rnacentral:tRNA from 1 species
UAUCUUUCUAAUAUAUACAUAAUAGUUAGUAUAAUUAACUUCCACUUAAUUCGACCUUAAAGGGAAAGAUAA